GGGGCUGUAGCUCAGAGUUAGAGCACUUGCCUAGCAUGUGUGGGGCCCUGGGUUCAAUUCUCAGCACCA
rnacentral:tRNA from 1 species